AGGGUUGUGGCUCAGUGGUAGAGCACUUGCCUAGCCAUGUGUGAGGCUCUGGGUUCAAUUCUCAGCAGCACAU
rnacentral:tRNA from 1 species